CUAUAUAAUAGUGUUUGAUCCAGAAAUAUUUAUAAGAAUUCCAAAUCUCCCGCAUAUAUAUGUUACUACUGUAAGACCAUACUUAAAACUGCAACUAUUAUAAACAUGAAAUGGUCAUUUUAUAACAGGAAUAGAUAUGGUAUCAUAAGCAGUCUUUUAAGAUAGCCCUGAUUGUGUAUGACACAGACUUGUAUACUGGUAGUAUUUUCCGUUUGGAAUGUCAAUUAUCAUAGUUUGAAAACAGUGGAUUUUAUAAGUUGGAGCUACUCACUAUUUGCCAUUACAUAUGGCAAUGGUGGCCACUUCAAUUGCAGUAUUAAAAUUUAAGGAUACCUGUAUGACGGACUCUGAGAAUAUCAUAAUGUAGAAAGUGGGCUAAAAAAACCAACUGAGACAACAGCCAAUGCCAGGAUAUAGACAGAGCAAUGCACUUUACAUUUUACAUCAAUUAAAAAAUUAAAA
rnacentral:lncRNA from 1 species